UGCGGAAGGAUCAUUAUUGAAUAAACUUGACGUGGUUGUAGCUGAUCUUUUCGAAGAUAUGUGCUCGCCUGUCACCUUUAUCUUUCCACCUGUGCACCUUUUGUAGACUUAGAUGUAACCUUUUUCCGAGGCAACUCGGGGUUGGGAGGAAUGCUUUUAUAAGGCUUUCCUUGUGCAUCCUAGUCUAUGUUUUAUAUACUCCAAACAUGUAACAGAAUGUAUCAUUGGGCUUUGUGCCUAUAAAACUAUAUACAACUUUCAGCAACGGAUCUCUUGGCUCUCGCAUCGAUGAAGAACGCAGCGAAAUGCGAUAAGUAAUGUGAAUUGCAGAAUUCAGUGAAUCAUCGAAUCUUUGAACGCACCUUGCGCUCCUUGGUAUUCCGAGGAGCAUGCCUGUUUGAGUGUCAUUAAAUUCUCAACCUUUAUUAGCUUUCGCAAGCUUGGUAAAGGAUUGGAUGUGAGGGCUUAUGCUGGCUUCGAAAGAUGUCUGCUCCCUUCAAAUAUAUUAGCUGGUGCCCGUGCGGAACCGUCUAUUGGUGUGAUAAUUAUCUACGCUAUUAGACAUCUGCAUUAAAUGGGUUAUACUGCUUCUAACUGUCUAUUUAAUUAGACAAUACAUGACUAUUUGACCUCAAAUCAGGUAGGACUACCCGCUGAACUUA
rnacentral:rRNA from 1 species